UGCCUGCCUGCCUGGCUCCCCCUGACCCGCUCACCCUUGUGGGUGCUUGGUGUGGCGGGGCCGGAGGGACGGCCGGGCGCACCUCUGCCGAGCGGCGUGGAGCUCUGCGAGACCUCCCCGCACUGCGGUACGGGCACGGGCUCCCUGUCCUCACAGCCGAGGAGACGCCGUCUCCCAGAAGGUGCUUCCCACCGAGGACAUGGCCUCGAGAGGGGCACACAGCCUGGCACCACGCUGGGGCUCGCCUCGCCACGGGGUGGACACUCCACAGAGACCUACGGCCUCCCGUUUGGUAUUUCAACUUCAAAAUUAAAAGACCAAAUAGUGUCACACAGACCUGAAUGAAAAUGUUUCAGUCGGUCUAAUUUGGACUAGGGUGUGGCCCCAACUGACAUCAAACGCUGGAGUAUUCUGAGAGUAAUACAAACGCCUAGCUAAAGUACAAGCCGUAUUUUCACCUUCUCCACGAGGUCU